CUAGUACUUCCUCCGUUCCGAAUUACUCGUCGCAGAAAUGAAUGUAUCUAGAUGUAUUUUAGUUCUAGAUACAUUCAUUUCUGCGACGAGUAAUUUGGAACGGAGGGAGUACAAG
rnacentral:pre_miRNA from 1 species